rnacentral:rRNA from 1 species
UGGGGAAUCUUGGACAAUGGGCGCAAGCCUGAUCCAGCAAUGCCGCGUGGGUGAAGACGGCCUGCGGGUUGUAAAGCCCUUUUAGUGGGGAAGAAAGCCCCGAGGUGAACAGCCGCGGGGGGUGACGUUACCCACCGAAGAAGCACCGGCUAACUCCGUGCCAGCAGCCGCGGUAAUACGGAGGGUGCGAGCGUUAAUCGGAAUUACUGGGCGUAAAGCGCGCGUAGGCGGUGCGCUAAGUCCGCUGUGAAAGCCCUGGGCUUAACCUGGGAAUGGCAGUGGGGACUGGUGCACUCGAGUGCGAGAGAGGAGAGUGGAAUUCCCGGUGUAGCGGUGAAAUGCGUAGAGAUCGGGAGGAACAUCGAUGGCGAAGGCAGCUCUCUGGAUCGACACUGACGCUGAGGGGCGAAAGCGUGGGGAGCAAACAGGAUUAGAUACCCUGGUAGUCCACGCGGUAAACGAUGAGAACUAGACGCUGGGUGGGUGACUGCUCGGUGUCGCAGCUAACGCGUUAAGUUCUCCGCCUGGGGAGUACGGCCGCAAGGUUG